rnacentral:tmRNA from 1 species
GGGGCUGAUUCUGGAUUCGACGGGAUUUGCGAAACCCAAGGUGCAUGCCGAGGGGCGGUUGGCCUCGUAAAAAGCCGCAAAAAAAUAGUCGCAAACGACGAAACCUACGCUUUAGCAGCUUAAUAACCUGCUUAGAGCCCUCUCUCCCUAGCCUCCGCUCUUAGGACGGGGAUCAAGAGAGGUCAAACCCAAGAGAGAUCGCGUGGAUGCCCUGCCUGGGGUUGAAGCGUUAAAACGAAUCAGGCUAGUCUGGUAGUGGCGUGUCCGUCCGCAGGUGCCAGGCGAAUGUAAAGACUGACUAAGCAUGUAGUACCGAGGAUGUAGGAAUUUCGGACGCGGGUUCAACUCCCGCCAGCUCCACCA